rnacentral:rRNA from 1 species
CCUACGGGAGGCAGCAGUGAGGAAUAUUGGUCAAUGGACGAGAGUCUGAUCCAGCCAAGUAGCGUGAACGAUGACUGCCCUAGGGGUUGUAAACUUCUUUUAUACAGGAAUAAAACGAGGCACGUGAGCCAUUUUGCAUGUACUUUAUGAAUACGGAUCGGCUAACUCCGUGCCAGCAGCAGCAGUAAUACGGAGGAUCCGAGCGUUAUCCGGAUUUAGUGGGGUUAAAGGGAGCGUAGAUGGGUUGUUAAGUCAGUUGUGAAAGUUUGCGGCUCAACCGUAAGAUUGCAAUUGAUACUGGCAGUCUUGAGUACAGGUGAGGUAGGCGGAAUUCGGGGUGUAGCGGUGAAAUGCUUAGAUAUCACGAAGAACCCCGAUUGCGAAGGCAGCUUACUAAACUGUGACUGACAUUGAUGCUCGAAAGUGUGGGUAGCAAACAGGAUUAGAUACCCCGGUAGUC